GUGGGAUAGCUAUUGAUGCAGAUACUGCUAUACUAUUAUAUUUGUUUUCUCAGGAGAUGGAUAGCCUAUUUUUUUUACAUGUGUUGGAGUGAAUGUUUCAAUAUAACAAUUUUUAUUAUGUAUAUUUUCACAGACUGUAAUGGUUGUUACAUAUUGAAGAGUUUGAUGUGUGUACAGUGUAAAAUAUUAUGGAUUGGAAGUCAGCAGAUACAGGGUCUGAGCAAGAACAGGACAGCAUUAUUAACCACUAGAUAUUUUCUACCAGCCUUCUAUAAUGCUAAGUAGAGUUGUUUCUAAUGGCUCCGCCUUUUCAAGAUGGCAGCAGAGGUGUUUUGUUAUUAACCUGUAUGUCUUGGACCUGUUGCAGAUACAACAAACUGUUGGACCUGGGGCAUGGUACACACCAAGGUAUGGCCAGAGAACUUGGUUAGUGUGUUAGUAGCACAUUGCCGCAGGGCUGUUGUCUGUAGUUUCACCUGGAUAACAAUUAACAUAGGAUGUUUAAUGUGUCCACACAAAAGUACUUGAAAGGUGUUGAUAAGAGAGCAGGAAUGCAGCAAGGUUAUCUGUACAAGGUAGCGGGUUUAAUUGCCUUUGAGACUCCAUCUUGUCAGCAUGAUGUGGAUUACUGCUGUCUGGGUAUCCAGCUUGCCAGCAUGAUGUGGAUCAGUGCCCUCAAAUGUCCAUCUUGUUAGCAUGAUGUUGAUCACUGCCUUCUGAUAGUACACCUUGUCAGCAUGGUAUGAUAGUACACCUUGUCAGCAUGGUAUGGAUUACUGCCGUCUGGGUGUCCAGCUUGUCAGCAUGAUGUGGAUUACUGCCAUCUUGGUAUCCAGCAUGAUGUGGACCAGUGCCCUCAAAUGUCCAGAUUAUCAGCAUGAUGUGGAUCUCUGACUGCAGGUGUCCAGCUUGUCAGCAUGAUGUGGAUCACUGCCCUCAAGUGUCCAUCUUGUCAACAUGAUGUAGAUCACUGCCUUCUGGUUGUCCAUCUUGUCAGCACAAUGUUGAUUGAUACUUUCUUGGUGUUCAUCUUGAUGAAUGCCUUCUGGGUGACCAGCUUGUGACCAUGAUGUGGAUCUAUGCCUUCAUGGUGUCUGUCUUGUUUGCAUGAUGUGGAUAACUGCCAUCUUGGUGUCCAACUUGUCAGUGUAAAGGCCAUAAGAACCUAUUUGGAGAGGGAAGAUCACAGACAGUGGACAUACUUCAUAUACAUUUAAAAGUGUGACCAGCAACAUAGAUGGGAAGCUACCGAAAGGGUAUGGAGGCCCCACUGUGAUGUACUGUAGGGAGGCCCUACUGUAAAAAUUGAAGACAUAUUAUGUGAAAAGAAAAUGUUCAAGAAAAUGACAGCAUGGAUGGAGAAUCUGGAAACAUUAUGUAUCAAGAAAUUGACAGCAUGUCUGAAGAAUCUUGAGCAUGUCACUGGAAAUGUUCCCCAUUGUGGUCUUGGAACUUGGUUGUACAAAGGCAAGUAAUAUGCAAAUAUGAGUUUCCACUUGGCAUGGGACAAAACCGCUGGUGAAGGAUAUAAAAAUAUAGUCAUAUUUGUGUGAACUUGUUCUUGAAUGAUACAAUGGCAGAAAAAGGAAAGGGAAAUCUAUGGAGACGAAAGGUUAAUGUAUCCAGAAUCAAAGAGGUAGCGAAUCCAAUCCCAGGGUGAGGAAAAAGUUGUCUAUGACAAUCUGAAAGAACACAAUUGAACCCACCUUUGAUUUAUGUAGGGAAGUUGUCAGUUAUAUGCAGAGAACAUAAUGGAAAUUCCAUUGAGAAUGUGCAUUGCCAGAGUGUAUUGUGCAGACUCCAGGUGUACACAGCUCAUGAGGCUAAAAUGGGAGACUGACAGGUUUUCAUUAAGAAAGUACAGCUUCUAGAUUAAGACGUCAGCUUCCACUAUGAGACAGUCUGCGAAACUUGGUGUCAUCGUAACUACUAGCUUGAUCAACAGAUUCAUUUGAUUUGUAGAUGUAUGAAUGAAAGUGCUGCUGCAGACGGGAUAUAGCUUGAGACAUGGUGGAAGUUUGUGGAAGCUAGGGUAAAGAAAUCUCUGAUUAGUGCGGCCAGUUAUUGUGGCAAGGAAGACCACUCCAGUCAUUGUGGCAAGGGAGACCACUGGUUAUUCUGAUGAGUUAUUGUGGUGCUGUUUCUACAGAGAAUACUCCAGAUAUUAUGCAGAAGGUUAAAGUUCAUGCUAUCUACUGAAGACAGUUGCAACCUGUCCUGAGUUUGGAGGCACCCGUGUGAGCAUUGAAGUUAUGUGAUGGUGGGCAGUCAACUUGAACAAUGUUCCUGGAUUUGGUACCAAUACUAACCUGUUCUCCGCUAGUAGCUGUCAACUUACCCACAAGAAUGAGAGGUGGAGAACGAAUGAUUUCAGACACAAUGAAUACUACCAAAUCAUCAUGGAGAAUAUAGGCCUCUACAGGGGUUUGAACUCCCAACUCAACUGUCUGUAGAUCUAUACACUCACUUCUGACCUGAGCAGACAGGGCCAGGGGAACUGAUCCAUAAAUACUGUGGUGACAAGAUCAUGACCCUGAUGGAUGAGCCCUCGGGACAACAAUUUCUGAUAGAUAAUUAUCAUCGACUGUUGUAGAAUAAACUGAUACUACUGAUAGUCUAUAAAGAAGUGAACGACAGUCGUAUUGAGUUACAUCGUCGACCGUCAGCCCAGGGCCACCACCGAUCAUGAGACAUUUGUUAAAAAAACCCCUAGAAAAUGUGCUUUCAGAAGUACAGAAAUCUUGACGCAUUUUGUUGUGGCCACACGCACUCAGACUGAUACCUUGUUUGAUAAAGAUACAUCAUUUUGACAGUUAAGGAGACUGCUGGUUGUGAACAGUUUUGAGUAUUCCGUGGAACUAAUGGAGACAGAAUGGAGCAGGCAAACUGACAGAGAGGCCACCUUUGGACCAAACAGGAUGUGCCAGAGCUGAAACAGAACCAAACAUGCUAAACUACUGUCAUAAAAAGUUUCAGGGUGUGUCAUUGGUGUAAAGGUGGAGUGGGUUGUCUGGAACUUGUGACAUGCAGACAUAAAAUUAGUUCAGGCUGGUACCUGACAUACUGUAGUACUGACGUACUUGAUCCAGGAUGCACUCAAUUUAUCUAUGGAGUAAAAGAAUGCCUGUGUGACAGACAGUGCAGUGCCUGAGAGUCAGAGACCUUGCUGGAGAUGAUAAUCUAUCCUGUUGUGACUUGUAAACUACCUAUAGAGUGAAAGCUCUGAUCAGUUAGUGCAAUUAAAGUGGAGAGUUUCAGUAGAGCUGUUGAUGUUACAGCAAAUCUUUGUGCUCUGACUUUUAUAUCAGUAUUUAUUAAAUUGCAUUAUUUUACAAUGGCCAGUACAAUGUGACAAUUGCACCUUUAUAAUGUAAUUUAGAUUGAAAGCUUCUUGGCCACAAAGUAUUCACUUUCUUCCAGUAUGUUAGAGGUGACAAGACAUUCAUCUGUAUUAUUAUAAAUCAAGAAACUGCCUUGCAAAUCUGGGAAAAAAAGAAAUCUUCAGGUAAGACAUGACACAAGAUACACUAAACAUACAGAAACAGAUAGAAGAAAAGAAAAACAGAGAGAUUUGGAAUAGAGCAUGUGAGCAAAGUCGGUUUUCAUUCUGGUCUGACAGGUUUAUAUAGUAUCUGAGAUCAUUUUGAAAACUGAUAUUGAAACAACAUGGCUACACAAAACAGAAGGAAUGAACCAGGACACACUAACAACAUGGCCACACAAAACAGGAAGAAUGAACCAGGACACACUAACAACAUGGCCACACAAAACAGAAGGAUUGAACCAGGACACACUGACAACAUGGCUACACAAAACAGAAGGAAUGAACCAGGACACACUGACAACAUGGCUACACAAAACAGGAAGAAAGAACCAGGACACAUUGACAACAUGGCACACAAAACAGGAAGAAUGAACCAGGACACACUGACAACAUGGCUACACAAAACAGGAAGAAUGAACCAGGACACACUGACAACAUGGCUACACAAAACAGGAAGAAAUAAACAAGGACACACACAGAAACUGUUGGAAACAGGUCAACACAUAAUACAGGUCCAAUGGGAAUGAGCUUGCUUGCACAAUAAAUGUUGCAAUAACAAUUCGAUAGGGCUGCAUGAAAGAAGAUUCCUGUACUUACCAAGAUUCUAUGGAAAAAUGACUAAAUGAAAUGUAAUGGAUUUAUUAAACAGAAAACAAGAGAGCUUCAGAAACAAGAAUAAUAGGGUAACAAUGAUAACAAAAGAAUGACCACAGUAUUGACAGCAGCAGUUCUAAAUGAUUAAUGCAGUGAUUCAACAGAUUUUUGAAAUAAAGAAAUGUACUGUAUAAAAACACAUUGACUCCUUGAUUUUACCUACCAGUAUUUUGACUCCUUGAUUUUACUUACUUAUUUUCCAUGUUGCUUCAGAGUGCCGAGUGAAGCUAACAAAUGAUACUUACAUGAAUAAUGAAUGAUAAAUAUACAUAAAGUGAACAAAAUUAAUAUUUGAAAUAACCUGAAAGCCAAUCAUGGCCUUCUCACUGCAUAUACCUUGUUUUGACUGUUAAUAAUUUGGUCCAAUCAUAGUACAUAAUUUUUCAGAUGACUAUUUCUUGCCUUUGCAGUUGGAUAACUUGUCAGAUAUUUUACGUUAGAUAUGGGAAUAUUUCAGUGGUUCGAAAGUGGCAAAAUUUUCAGUUUUUGAGCAAAGUGUGCAUGCUUUCCAGUGACAAUGAUGACAUAGUAAACUAUUUAGCUUGUUAUUAAAAGAAAAAAAAAAGACGUUUUUCACUGCAUAUGUUUAUAUACUGAAGAAAAUUACACGAGAUAAGUUUUCAAAGAUCUCUCUAUCCUUGCCUUUGGAAUGUGUAUAGAUGUCAAGUUUGUCGUAUUAUACAUAGAAGAGGUAUUUGAAACAGUCGGGAGAUUUCACUUUUGGACUUUGGUGCCUACAGAAAUUGUAUUUGCAACUGAUAAAAGAUUAUGUGCUUCACAAAGGUAAAACAUUUUUUCAGAAUACUUGACAACACCUGUAGUCAAGAUGAACAUGUCUCACUAGAAAAUUGUCACAGUGGAGCCGUAGGACACUGGCGGAAGCCUUCAUUAACAGUUUAAUGAAUUUGGAAUAAAUCUGAAUUGGGAAAGACGGUCGGUGACUGUUGUUGUACAAAAUUGGUUUUCGUAUUGGUCUGACAGAUAUAAAAUACUUCUGAGAUCAUUGCGAAAACUGAUUUUGUUCCCAAUGUAACAUCUGUUCUAGACUAGCUUCUACACAAUGAUUACUAGACCUACGCAAGUCCAGGAUGGAAUGAUCCAAGAAACGGUUCAAAACAAGGGGUACACUAAUUGGUAAGCAAAAUAUUGUAAAGAAGUACAUAAGUAUGAACAACGAGUGUUAGUUACUCGACAGCUUUGGUAUGCAAGUUGUAACCCUAUAUUAUAUUCAAAUAUACACGAAUUAUUGAAUAUGUUGACUUACUGUUUUAUCAUCUUCGUAUUUAUUAUUGCUUGAUGUAAAACUAUUCAAAGUUUUGCAGACAAUAAACAUUUUAAAGAUA